AGCGAACGCUGGCGGCAAGCUUAACACAUGCAAGUCGAACGAUGUAGCAAUACAUAGUGGCGGACGGGUGCAUAACACGUGGGAAUCUGCCCUUCAGUACGGAAUAACUCAGGGAAACUUGAGCUAAUACCGUAUAAUAUCUCCGGAUCAAAGAUUUAUCGCUGAAGGAUGAGCCCGCGGCAGAUUAGCUAGUUGGUGGGGUAAUGGCCUACCAAGGCAACGAUCUGUAGCUGGUCUUAGAGGAUGAUCAGCCACACUGGGACUGAGACACGGCCCAGACUCCUACGGGAGGCAGCAGUGGGGAAUAUUGGACAAUGGGCGAAAGCCUGAUCCAGCUAUGCCGCGUGAGUGAUGAAGGCCUUAGGGUUGUAAAGCUCUUUUAGAUGGGAAGAUAAUGACGGUACCAUCAGAAAAAGCCCCGGCUAACUUCGUGCCAGCCGCCGCCGUAA
rnacentral:rRNA from 1 species